UGUUGGCUCAUUUGCUAAGGAUUUGAACUGUGGAAGAUAGCUAGCUUACGUAACAAAAGAUGGAAUUUAGAAGAAAAGCAAUACAUUAUACAAAUUAAAUAAUAUAUGUGCCCUUAAGAGAGGUCUUUAGUGAAGUUGUUGAGCAGCAGAAGCAUUAGAAGAUGGACGGAUCUGAUGUUACAUUGGCGGGAGCAGCAUCGCAGAGGGGAAGUUAUGAUUCAGGUCUAACAGCAGCUAGCAGCAAAGUUUUGUAACUGCAGCAGUCUUUACAAGAGGAGAGACAGAGACAAUUAUUAUUAGGCCUCAAGACCUGCGGUUCAUCCGGCUGGACGAAGAAAGGUGCACUGCUCAAAUGAAGACGUUAUAAAAUGAGUCGUUGUGGCAAAAGAACAACAUAAAUAACUGCUUUCGUACCUGUAAUCUUAUUUCUAAUGCAGCGAGAGUAACCGAGAUUUAAGGCAAUGUGUGAUGGAUGAUACAGCAUAAAAUAGUGUCGAUGAUAGUAAACAAGGCAAAUUAUCACAGGUACUAAAUGUUUUGGGCGUUUCCUGUAAACCUGGCCAGAUAUUAUGAAUAUUAUGAAUACAAAGCCGCUUAAAAUGUAAAAAUUAUCUUUCAAAUAAAAGUUUUUGUUAGAAAAUC